rnacentral:rRNA from 1 species
ACUCUACGGAGGCAGCAGUACGAAUAUGGACAAUGGCGCAAGCUGAUGCAGCAUGCCGCGUGAGUGAUGAAGGCCCUCGGGUUGUAAAGCUCUUUUGUCUGGGAAGAAGAACUCCGGGUUAAUACCCUGGUGUCCUGACCGUACCAGAAGAAUAAGCACCGGCUAACUUCGUGCCAGCAGCCGCGGUAAUAAGGU